AACGAACGCUGGCGGCAGGCUUAACACAUGCAAGUCGAACGGGUGUAGCAAUACAUCAGUGGCAGACGGGUGAGUAACACGUGGGAACCUUCCUAGGGGUACGGAACAACUCAGGGAAACUUGAGCUAAUACCGUAUACGUCCGUGAGGAGAAAGAUUUAUCGCCCUUAGACGGGCCCGCGUCGGAUUAGGUAGUUGGUGGGGUAACGGCCUACCAAGCCUACGAUCCGUAGCUGAUCUGAGAGGAUGAUCAGCCACACUGGGACUGAGACACGGCCCAGACUCCUACGGGAGGCAGCAGUGGGGAAUCUUGGACAAUGGGCGCAAGCCUGAUCCAGCCAUGCCGCGUGAGUGAAGAAGGCCUUCGGGUUGUAAAGCUCUUUUGUCUAGGGACGAUAAUGACGGUACCUGAAGAAUAAGCCCGGCAAACUUCGUG
rnacentral:rRNA from 1 species